rnacentral:rRNA from 1 species
ACUCCAGCUCCAAUAGCGUAUAUUAAAGUUGUUGCGGUUAAAAAGCUCGUAGUUGGAUUUCUGCUGAGGACGACCGGUCCGCCCUCUGGGUGAGCAUCUGGCUCGGCCUUGGCAUCUUCUUGGAGAACGUUACUGCACUUGAUUGUGUGGUGCGGUAUCCAGGACUUUUACUUUGAGGAAAUUAGAGUGUUUCAAGCAGGCGCACGCCUUGAAUACAUUAGCAUGGAAUAAUAAGAUAGGACCUUGGUUCUAUUUUGUUGGUUUCUAGAGCUGAGGUAAUGAUUAAUAGGGAUAGUUGGGGCAUUCGUAUUUAACUGUCAGAGGUGAAAUUUCUUGGAUUUGUUUAAAGACGGACUACUGCGAAAGCAUUUUGCCAAGGAUGUUUUUCAUUGAUCAAGAACGAAAGUUAGGGGAUCGAAGACGAUCAGAUACCGUCCUAGUUCCAACCAUAAACGAUGCCGUCUGCGGAUCGGAGGUCGCUCACAAUAGGCUCCUUCGGCACG